GAGCGCGGGAGCUUGUCUGAUCCCUUCGGGGUGACGCGAGUGGAACGAGCGGCGGACGGGUGAGUAACACGUGGGCAACCUGCCUGUAAGACUGGGAUAACCCCGGGAAACCGGGGCUAAUACCGGAUAAUACUUUGCUUCGCAUGAAGCAAAGUUGAAAGGUGGCUUUUAGCUAUCACUUACAGAUGGGCCCGCGGCGCAUUAGCUAGUUGGUAAGGUAAUGGCUUACCAAGGCAACGAUGCGUAGCCGACCUGAGAGGGUGAUCGGCCACACUGGGACUGAGACACGGCCCAGACUCCUACGGGAGGCAGCAGUAGGGAAUCUUCCGCAAUGGACGAAAGUCUGACGGAGCAACGCCGCGUGAACGAAGAAGGUUUUCGGAUCGUAAAGUUCUGUUGUUAGGGAAGAACAAGUACCGUUCGAAUAGGGCGGUACCUUGACGGUACCUAUCGAGGAAGCCCCGGCUAACUACGUGCCAGCAGCCGCGGUAAUACGUAGGGGGCAAGCGUUGUCCGGAAUUAUUGGGCGUAAAGCGCGCGUAGGCGGUUUCUUAAGUCUGAUGUGAAAUCUUGCGGCUCAACCGCAAGCGGCCAUUGGAAACUGAGGAACUUGAGUGCAGAAGAGGAGAGCGGAAUUCCACGUGUAGCGGUGAAAUGCGU
rnacentral:rRNA from 1 species